rnacentral:rRNA from 1 species
UACGGGGGGAGCAAGCGUUGUUCGGAUUUACUGGGCGUAAAGGGCGCGUAGGCGGCCAGCACAAGUCAGUUGUGAAAUCUCCGAGCUUAACUCGGAAAGGUCAACUGAUACUGUGCGGCUAGAGUGCGGAAGGGGCAACUGGAAUUCUUGGUGUAGCGGUGAAAUGCGUAGAUAUCAAGUGGAACACCAGUGGCGAAGGCGAGUCCCUGGACAACUCCUGACACUGAGGCACGAAAGCUAGGGGAGCAAACAGG